GCGGGUGUAGUUUACUGGUAAAAUAGCUGCCUUCCAAGCAGCGGUAGGGGGUUCGAUUCCUCUCACCCGCA
rfam:Candidatus Kaiserbacteria bacterium RIFOXYD1_FTLL_42_15 rifoxyd1_full_scaffold_1357, whole genome shotgun sequence.